GGUCAGGUAGCUCAGAUGGUAGUAGCGCCGCCCUGAAAAGGCGGAGGUCACCGGUUCGACCCCGGUCCUGACCACCA
rnacentral:tRNA from 1 species